rnacentral:rRNA from 1 species
GAACGAACGCUGGCGGCAUGCCUAACACAUGCAAGUCGAACGAGACCUUCGGGUCUAGUGGCGCACGGGUGCGUAACGCGUGGGAACCUGCCCUUAGGUUCGGAAUAACUCCCCGAAAGGGGUGCUAAUACCGGAUAAUGUCUUUGGACCAAAGAUUUAUCGCCUUUGGAUGGGCCCGCGUUGGAUUAGCUAGUUGGUAGGGUAAAAGCCUACCAAGGCGACGAUCCAUAGCUGGUCUGAGAGGAUGAUCAGCCACACUGGGACUGAGACACGGCCCAGACUCCUACGGGAGGCAGCAGUGGGGAAUAUUGGACAAUGGGCGAAAGCCUGAUCCAGCAAUGCCGCGUGAGUGAUGAAGGCCUUAGGGUUGUAAAGCUCUUUUACCCGGGAUGAUAAUGACAGUACCGGGAGAAUAAGCUCCGGCUAACUCCGUG